GGACGGGUGAGUAAUGCAUAGGAAUCUGCCCGAUAGUGGGGGAUAACCUGGGGAAACCCAGGCUAAUACCGCAUACGUCCUACGGGAGAAAGGGGGGUCCGGCUCCCGCUAUUGGAUGAGCCUAUGUCGGAUUAGCUAGUUGGUGAGGUAAAGGCUCACCAAGGCGACGAUCCGUAGCUGGUCUGGGAGGAUGAUCAGCCACAUCGGGACUGAGACACGGCCCGAACUCCUACGGGAGGCAGCAGUGGGGAAUAUUGGACAAUGGGCGAAAGCCUGAUCCAGCCAUGCCGCGUGUGUGAAGAAGGCCCUCGGGUUGUAAAGCACUUUCAGCGAGGAAGAACGCCUAGUGGUUAAUACCCAUUAGGAAAGACAUCACUCGCAGAAGAAGCACCGGCUAACUCCGUGCCAGCAGCCGCGGUAAUACGGAGGGUGCAAGCGUUAAUCGGAAUUACUGGGCGUAAAGCGCGCGUAGGUGGCUUGAUAAGCCGGUUGUGAAAGCCCCGGGCUCAACCUGGGAACGGCAUCCGGAACUGUCAAGCUAGAGUGCAGGAGAGGAAGGUAGAAUUCCCGGUGUAGCGGUGAAAUGCGUAGAGAUCGGGAGGAAUACCAGUGGCGAAGGCGGCCUUCUGGACUGACACUGACACUGAGGUGCGAAAGCGUGGGUAGCAAACAGGAUUAGAUACCCUGGUAGUCCACGCCGUAAACGAUGUCGACCAGCCGUUGGGUGCCUAGCGCACUUUGUGGCGAAGUUAACGCGAUAAGUCGACCGCCUGGGGAGUACGGCCGCAAGGUUAAAACUCAAAUGAAUUGACGGGGGCCCGCACAAGCGGUGGAGUAUGUGGUUUAAUUCGAUGCAACGCGAAGAACCUUACCUACUCUUGACAU
rnacentral:rRNA from 1 species